UGAGGAAUAUUGGUCAAUGGGCGAGAGCCUGAACCAGCCAAGUCGCGUGAGGGAAGACGGCCCUACGGGUUGUAAACCUCUUUUGUCAGGGAGCAAGGACCGGCACGUGUGCCGGGGCGAGAGUACCUGAAGAAAAAGCAUCGGCUAACUCCGUGCCAGCAGCCGCGGUAAUACGGAGGAUGCGAGCGUUAUCCGGAUUUAUUGGGUUUAAAGGGUGCGUAGGCGGGGACUUAAGUCAGCGGUAAAAUUGUGAGGCUCAACCUCAUCGAGCCGUUGAAACUGAGUUUCUUGAGUGGGCGAGAAGUAUGCGGAAUGCGUGGUGUAGCGGUGAAAUGCAUAGAUAUCACGCAGAACUCCGAUUGCGAAGGCAGCAUACCGGCGCCCGACUGACGCUGAAGCACGAAAGCGUGGGUAUCGAACAGG
rnacentral:rRNA from 1 species